rnacentral:rRNA from 1 species
AGUGAACGCUGGCGGUAGGCCUAACACAUGCAAGUCGAACGGCAGCACAGUAAGAGCUUGCUCUUACGGGUGGCGAGAGGCGGACGGGUGAGGAAUACAUCGGAAUCUACUUUUUCGUGGGGGAUAACGUAGGGAAACUUACGCUAAUACCGCAUACGACCUACGGGUGAAAGCAGGGGAUCUUCGGACCUUGCGCGAUUGAAUGAGCCGAUGUCGGAUUAGCUAGUUGGCGGGGUAAAGGCCCACCAAGGCGACGAUCCGUAGCUGGUCUGAGAGGAUGAUCAGCCACACUGGAACUGAGACACGGUCCAGACUCCUACGGGAGGCAGCAGUGGGGAAUAUUGGACAAUGGGCGCAAGCCUGAUCCAGCCAUACCGCGUGUGUGAAGAAGGCCUUCGGGUUGUAAAGCCCUUUUGUUGGGAAAGAAAAGCAGCAGGUUAAUACCCCGCUGUUCUGACGGUACCCAAAGAAUAAGCACCGGCUAACUUCGUG